CAGUUUCACUACAGGCGUGUCCGGAGAUAUGCGGAACACAGGUCUCUUCUCGGGCUUUCCGCAUUUAACGUACUUUCCAUAAACGUUUUUGUCGUUCCUCUAAUUCACGGCAGAAGCAUUUCAAAUCAUGCAUAGCAAGGCAACAAGCUGGCAACACACGGCAACAAGCUGGUGACAGGAACGUAUUUCAUAACAACGAGAGCAUGGACGGCAUGGAUGAUGACUCAGGGCAGCUCCUCUGUUCCAGCCCCUCACUCUAAAAGAAGCUCACCUUCACAAGAGACAGUGUGCCUGUUCCACUAGUUUUGUCCUCAGCACCAUAAGAGAAAUUAGCCUCCCCCUUCAACUGACUCAGUUCUUAGCUGGAACUCAAGUCAACAAUGCACCUUUACAGAGUAUCCUGGAACUUGCAGGACUGCACCCUGGGGGUUAGUAUUACUGCUGCAAAGUCACCUUUGAACACUGUUAUUACUCUAUUACUUCUGUAUAUCUGAAUUUUUCCACAUCAAGCAUGACUGCAGACACAAUUUUUAUUUCUUAUUUUUUAAUUGUUUCUUUUUUUUCCUAAAAAAAAUAACUGGUCUGUUAUACAUAAUAAAACACCCUAAGUACAAACAUAAACAGGUGUGAACAGUCUUUUUUGUGAUGCUGCUCACCCUUGUGGUCAGCAUAGCUUCUGCAAAGCAUCAUCUAGCAGAGACCUCCUGCUCAGUCAGGUCUACAGGUUCAAAGGCCUUCCCAGACGUCCUAAUUUAA